rnacentral:rRNA from 1 species
UACGGGGGGGGCAAGCGUUGUUCGGAAUUACUGGGCGUAAAGGGCUCGUAGGCGGCCAACUAAGUCGGACGUGAAAUCCCCAGGCUCAACCUGGGAACUGCGUCCGAUACUGGAUGGCUUGAAUCCGGGAGAGGGAUGUGGAAUUCCAGGUGUAGCGGUGAAAUGCGUAGAUAUCUGGAGGAACACCGGUGGCGAAGGCGACAUCCUGGACCGGUAUUGACGCUGAGGCGCGAAAGCCAGGGGAGCAAACGGG